rnacentral:rRNA from 1 species
CUACGGGAGGCAGCAGUGGGGAAUAUUGGACAAUGGGCGAAAGCCUGAUCCAGCAAUGCCGCGUGAGUGAAGAAGGCCUUAGGGUUGUAAAGCUCUUUUACCCGGGAUGAUAAUGACAGUACCGGGAGAAUAAGCUCCGGCUAACUCCGUGCCAGCAGCCGCGGUAAUACGGAGGGAGCUAGCGUUGUUCGGAAUCACUGGGCGUAAAGCGCACGUAGGCGGCUUUGUAAGUUAGAGGUGAAAGCCCGGGGCUCAACUCCGGAACUGCCUUUAAGACUGCAUCGCUUGAAUCUGGGAGAGGUAAGUGGAAUUCCGAGUGUAGAGGUGAAAUUCGUAGAUAUUCGGAAGAACACCAGUGGCGAAGGCGGCUUACUGGACCAGAAUUGACGCUGAGGUGCGAAAGCGUGGGGAGCAAACAGGAUUAGAAACCCGAGUAGUCC